ACCUUCGUGGUGUAGUGGUCAGCACGUUCAACGCGUAACCAAGUGGUCCGUGGUUCGAUUCCCGGCGAAAGCG
rnacentral:tRNA from 1 species